UACGAAGGGAGCUAGCGUUGUUCGGAGUUACUGGGCGUAAAGGGUGUGUAGGCGGUUCUUUAAGUUUGGUGUGAAAUCUCCCGGCUCAACCGGGAGGGUGCGCCGAAUACUGAGGGACUCGAGUGCGGGAGAGGAAAGUGGAAUUCCUGGUGUAGCGGUGAAAUGCGUAGAUAUCAGGAGGAACACCGGUGGUGUAGACGGCUUUCUGGACCGUAACUGACGCUGAGACACGAAAGCGUGGGUAGCAAACAGG
rnacentral:rRNA from 1 species